AAUGAAUUUAAUUCAUGCGUUUUGUUUAGAUUUUUACUGUUUUUUAUUUGUCUUUAUUGAGCGUUAAGAUUAAGGGGGAUUAGCUCCUUAUUUUAUUUUUAUAAUUUUUGUGUGUUUAUUUGGUUUUGUGGAUUUUAUAGUGAUUUUCGAUUUGAUUAUGUUAAAAUUUUAUUUGUUUCUUUUGUUAUUUUGUGUUAUUUAAUUAUUUAUUGGAAUGUUUUCUUUACUUUUUAUUGGAUUGUAAUUAUUGUGGGAUUAGUAAAUUUGUUUAUUGUAUUGUUUAUAGUUCUGUUUAAUUUCUUUUGAGGAAUUAGGCAAAAUUUUUGUGUCCGCCUGUUUAACAAAAACAUCUUUUCUUGUUAGUUUUUGAGGUAUGGCCUGCCCGCUGACGUUGAGUUGAAGGGCCGCGGUAUUUUGACCGUGCAAAGGUAGCAUAAUCAUUAGUUCUUUAAUUGUGAUCUGGAAUGAAUGGCUUGACGAGACACGAGCUGUCUUAGUGUUGAAUGUUUUAUUGAAUUUGGUCUUUGAGUUAAAAUUCUUAGAUGUUUUUAUGGGACGAGAAGACCCUAUAGAGUUUAACAUUUGGUUUAUUUAUUUGUUGUUGUUUGUUUGUUUUGUUGGUAAGUGGACUUUUUGUUUUGUUGGGGUGAUGAGAGGAAUGAUUUAACUCCUCUUGGUUUUGGUUAUAUUGA
rnacentral:rRNA from 1 species